AUAUGUUGGGCCAUCUUUUGAGGCAUGUGUCCCUGUUAUAUGUUGGGGCAUCUUUUGGGUAUAUGUCCAAGAGUGGUAUAGCUGGGUCCUCAGGUAGUACUAUGCCCAAUUUUCUGAAGAACCACAAAACUGGUUUCCAGAGUGGUUGUACCAGCUUGCAAUCCCACCAGCAAUGAAGGAGUGUUCCUCUUUCUCCACAUCCUCACCAACAUCUGGUGUCCAUGAGUUUUUGAUCUUAGCCAUUUUGACUAGUGAGAGGUCGAAUCUCAGUGUUGUUUUGAUCUCAUUUCCCUGAUGACUAAGGAUGUUGAACAUUUCUUUAAGUGCCAUGUGAGAUUCCUCAGUUGAGAAUUCUCUGUUUAUCUCUGUACCUCAUUUUAAUAGGGUUAUAUGAUUCUCUGGAGUAUAACUUCUUGAGUUCUUUGUAUAUUUUGGAUAUUAACCUUCUAUCAAAUAUAGGGUUGGUAAAGACACACACACACACACACACACAUAUAUAUAUAUGUGUGUAUAUAUAUAUAUAUGUAGAGAGAGAGAGAUGUGUACAUAUAUGGAUAUAUAUAUGUAGAAAAAUAAAAGGGUAACAUGUUUUCUUAUUUUGAAGCUGAAAUGUUUAGAAGAUAUGAUUAUUGAAAUGUUAGCAUAUGUGGGAUCAAGAUUUAGCUUUUCCUCUAUCUUUUUAUUAAACUUAGACCAAAGAAAAUUGAAAUGAGAUAUAUAUUAUAGAUCAUCACAUUUGAUAUAUGGAUAAACAAAAGCCCGAUAUAUUUCAAAACCAAGAUGAUUAAAACUAAUCUAUAGUUGAUUUAUGUUUGUGUGGGAAAAAAUGGUUGGACAUAUCCCUUUGAUUCCAUUUACCAAAGAUAUUAUAUGUAAUUUCAGAUUCAUAACUAAUCCCAACAUUUUCCCUAGGGAAAAGAGCAAAGAACUGAUCUCAGGAAGUCUGUGGGCUGGAUUUGAGCACUUAAGACUCAGACUAUGGGUUGCAGAGUUUCAGCCACACCCCCAACUUUGCAGCAAGUGUCUGUAGAAAGCCUUCCAGUGUUUAACUUAGAUUCUUGCAAGCUAACUUGGAGAGUUACAAAAGAAGCACAACAGAACGUAAGCACUUAGGGCUUGAGGCAGAAGUUACUCCAUUCAGUCUCUGCGGGGUAUAAAGAUGCUAGCCCAGGAAAAUGUGAAUUCCCAGCUCAGCAUCUGUGAUCCUCCGGGUUUCCCUCAGUCUUCUUCCCAGUAUUCACUGAUGAUAUUGACAAGUAUUCAGUUCUUCAAACGUCCAGCAUAUUUGUUCCCAUUUGACCUUGAGCUCAGUCUACUCUGUACCCUUUGCUUCCAGGUCUAUUAUCUAAUAUCUACACAAGCCUCCAGACCCAGUUCAUAUUUGUCCACAUCUUAAUCUUUCCCUUAUCAUGGAGUUUUCUCAUUAUCCAUAGCAUUCAUUUGUUACUUACAUAUGGCCUUGCAUUGCUCAUUUAUAUACUCUAUGUGUAUCCAUUUGCUUUCCAGUGAUCAUGCCAUAGAACACAAUGCAGUGGGUUGACGUUUAUUGAGCACUUAAUUUUUGGUCUUAGUGCCUAAUAUUUUAUGUAAAUUCAUAUUUGUAGCACUGUGAAAUAAAUACUAUUAUCCAUUACUUACAAAAACAGUAAAGAUGAUUUUUAAAGUUUCCUAGAUUGGACUGGUAGGAUGGCUCAGUGAAGAAAGUACUGGUGCAGGAAUGAGGUCCUGAUUUCAAAUCCCCAGAGCCCAUAUAGAGCCAUCUGUAAUCCCAGCAUGUCUUCGCAGAGAUGGGAGUUAAAAGGCUGGCUACCAUGGUAUGUGUGAAAGAAAAUUAAAAUAAAAACAAGAGACCUUGUUUGCUAUCUCGAACACUGUAGAAGGCAACGGCCAGUGUCUGAAGCUGUUCUUUGAUGUCCAUAUAUGGGCAAUGGCAUAUAUAUAUAUACCCUCAUACACACACACACACACACACACACACACACACACACACACACACAAAGACAGGGAGAGGAAAAGACAGAGACAGAGAUAGACAGAGAUUUACUUUUCUAGAUUAUUCAUCUAUUAAUAAGAGUAUGGUUCAAACACAGCUCUGUCUACUCUUCUGCACUCUGCCAUAGUAUCACAUCACACCAGAUUAUCCUCACCUAGUGGUUUUGUGAGGCCUUUUUAAAUCUCACAUAGCACCUACCAACCACAUUAUAUAUAAAUCAGACUGAAGAGCUGUGUCAUGACUAUGUUGCUGAAGUUAGCCUAUUGUCUAUUCCUUACCUGAAGUCCAGCAUAGAUCCCCAACCCAUAAUGCCAAAAUCCAUAAUGUAUUGUUUUAGCACGUCCUUGCAACAACAUUUCAACAGAAUUCCCCUCUCCACUUGACUGGCUGUUUGACUGACCACACUAAUUAGUUAUUUGAAUGUGUGGUAUGAAUUGUACUGCAGUCUUCUGAGGACCCAGCUCAUAAAGCUAUGUGACAUGAGUAAUAAUUAGUUUCUCAACAGCUUUGAAGCUUGCAGCAGCUGACCUCCACGUGCCCACCCUCUCUGCUCUCCCUCGCAGUUAUGCUAAGGCACAUUUUCCCAUUG
rnacentral:lncRNA from 1 species